rnacentral:rRNA from 1 species
UACGGAGGGGGCAAGCGUUGUUCGGAUUUACUGGGCGUAAAGGGUGUGUAGGCGGUUAUGUAAGUCUGGUGUGAAAUCUUCAUCGCUCAACGGGAAGAGGUCACUGGAAACUGCGUAACUCGAGUGUGGUAGAGGCAAGCGGAAUUCCUGGUGUAGCGGUGGAAUGUGUAGAUAUCGGGAGGAACACCAGUGGCGAAGGCGGCGACCUGGGCCAAUAUUGACGCUGAGGUGCGAAAGCGUGGGGAGCAAACAGG